rnacentral:rRNA from 1 species
UACGUAGGGAGCAAGCGUUGUCCGGAUUCACUGGGUGUAAAGGGGGCGCAGGCGGGUUGGCAAGUCAGAGGUGAAAUCUCACAGCUUAACUGUGAAACUGCCUUUGAUACUUCCAAUCUUGAGUUAAAGAGAGGUUGAUGGAAUUUCAGGUGUAGCGGUGAAAUGCGUAGAUAUCUGAAAGAACACCAGUGGCGAAGGCGGUCAACUGGCUUUUAACUGACGCUCAGGCACGAAAGCGUGGGUAGCGAACAGG